CAAUUCUCUCUAUUUAUCUGUAUAAAGUAUAAACAAUGUAACCAGCUCCUGAAUUCAUUUACUAAUUGAUUUAAUUUCAGGUGACGUAAGUUAAAUAAUCAACAGGUCCAUCUCUCUUCCAAUAACAUUGGCGAAAGAAGAACUUCACACGUGUUAAUGAAUAAACGAACAAGUGAGCGAGCUAGCUAAUUCAUUGACAGAUGUUCUGAUAAUGCCAGUAACCAACAAAAGAAAAGCAACAUCAGGGGAGAGAUGCUGCGGGGUUACUAUGGGGUUACUAUGUACGCUGGAGAGCUGUAGACUACUGUGUCAAGCAGUUUCUGUGGCUGACAGAAAGCUGCCCCAGGAGACAGGUGUUGUAGAGCUGUAGAGUUGAGAUCCUGGAACCAGUUGAUGAAUUUGAGGACUGAGAUUGAGGCAGUGGCUGACUUACAAAGUGGAUCAUCUUGCAGGAGCCGAGGCGGUCGUUGAGGCCCAUCCAGCGCAGGUAUUCAGGGUACCUCCCCCCCCGGUAGCCCAUGUAGUUGGGCCUCCCGUAGA